GCUGGCGGCGUGCUUAACACAUGCAAGUCGAACGGACGCUUUAGCAAUAGAGCGUUAGUGGCAAACGGGUGAGUAACGCGUGGGUGACCUGCCUCAAAGUGGGGAACAACAGACCGAAAGGUUUGCUAAUACCGCAUACGCUCGGUGAUUCAAUUUGUCGAGUAAAGGUGCAAAUCGCUUUGAGAGGGGCCCGCGUCCCAUCAGGUAGUUGGCGAGGUAAUGGCUCACCAAGCCGAUGACGGGUAGCUGGUCUGAGAGGACGAUCAGCCACAAUGGAACUGAGAUACGGUCCAUACUCCUACGGGAGGCAGCAGUGAGGAAUAUUGCGCAAUGGGGGAAACCCUGACGCAGCGACGCCGCGUGGGUGAUGAAGGCCUUCGGGUCGUAAAACCCUUUUCGCAGGGACGAGUGAGGACGGUACCUGUGGAAUAAGUCUCGGCUAACUACGUGCCAGCAGCCGCGGUAAAACGUAGGAGGCAAGCGUUAUCCGGAUUCACUGGGCGUAAAGCGCGCGUAGGCGGUCGGUCAAGUCGGAUGUUAAAGCCCCUGGCUCAACUGGGGGAGGUCAUUCGAUACUGUUCGGCUUGAGGGUGAUAGAGGAGAGCGGAAUUCCCGGUGUAGCGGUGGAAUGCGUAGAGAUCGGGAG
rnacentral:rRNA from 1 species